rnacentral:rRNA from 1 species
UACGGGGGGGGCAAGCGUUGUUCGGAAUUACUGGGCGUAAAGGGCUCGUAGGUUGCCAACUAAGUCAGACGUGAAAUCCCUCGGCUUAACCGGGGAACUGCGUCUGAUACUGGAUGGCUUGAGUUCGGGAGAGGGAUGCGGAAUUCCAGGUGUAGCGGUGAAAUGCGUAGAUAUCUGGGGGAACACCGGUGGCGAAGGCGGCAUCCUGGACCGACACUGACACUGAGGAGCGAAAGCCAGGGGAGCAAACGGG